rnacentral:rRNA from 1 species
UACGUAGGUGGCGAGCGUUGUCCGGAUUUACUGGGCGUAAAGGGCGCGUAGGUGGUGGCUUAAGCGUGCGGUGAAAGCUCGGAGCUCAACUCCGAGUCGGCCGUGCGAACUGGGCUCACUGGAGCAUAGUAGAGGCAGGUUGAAUUCCGGGUGUAGCGGUGGAAUGCGUAGAGAUCCGGAAGAACACCGGUGGCGAAAGCGGCUUUCUGGUCCUUAACUGACGCUGAGGCGCGAAAGCAUGGGGAGCGAACGGG